GACGAACGCUGGCGGCGUGCCUAACACAUGCAAGUCGAACGGAGUUAAAUUCGACACCCGAGUAUCCGGCUGGGAGGCGGGGUGCUGGGGGUUGGAUUUAACUUAGUGGCGGACGGGUGAGUAACGCGUGAGUAACCUGCCUUUCAGAGGGGGAUAACGUUCUGAAAAGAACGCUAAUACCGCAUAACAUCAAUUUAUCGCAUGAUAGGUUGAUCAAAGGAGCAAUCCGCUGGAAGAUGGACUCGCGUCCGAUUAGCCAGUUGGCGGGGUAACGGCCCACCAAAGCGACGAUCGGUAGCCGGACUGAGAGGUUGAACGGCCACAUUGGGACUGAGACACGGCCCAGACUCCUACGGGAGGCAGCAGUGGGGGAUAUUGCACAAUGGGGGAAACCCUGAUGCAGCAACGCCGCGUGAGGGAAGAAGGUUUUCGGAUUGUAAACCUCUGUUCUUAGUUACGAUAAUGACGGUAGCUAAGGAGAAAGCUCCGGCUAACUACGUGC
rnacentral:rRNA from 1 species